AAAACAUGGCUUAUUGAGCAURAUUUUAGGUCUGACCUGCCCUAUGAGAUGUUAAAUGGCUGCAGUAUAUUGACUGUACAAAGGUAGCAUAAUCAUUUGUUUUUUAAUUGAAAGCUAGAAUGAAAGGUUUGAUGAAAAAAUUUCUGUCUCUGUGAUAAUUUAUUAGAAUUUUAUUUUUAAGUGAAAAAGCUUAAAUGUAAAUAGAAGACGAGAAGACCCUAUAGAGUUUAAUAAUUUUAAGAAAUGAUUAUUUAUUAAGGAAUUUGAGUUGAAUUUUUUUGAAAUUAUUUUAUUGGGGUGAUAGAAAAAUUUACUAAACUUUUUAUUAUUAGAAUAUUGAUUUGUAAGUAAAUGAUCCUAAUUAUUUGGAUUAUAAGAUUUAAUUACCUUAGGGRUAACAGCGUURUUUUUUCUAGAGUUCUUAUCGAARGAAAAGAUUGCGACCUCG
rnacentral:rRNA from 1 species